rnacentral:tRNA from 10 species
GCCGUGCUUGCCUGCAACUUCAUUCAGGCUUAGAGAUGGCCUGGAUCCAGAGGCCCCCUGUGAGUGCAGUCAGUGCGAGCCCUUCAACAUGCCCUAUAUGGUGUCUGCUUCAGACAACUCUCAUGCCUAUGCUGUCAGGACCGGAAUCCUCCCCACCAGGAUUUCAUGAAGUUGGAGAAAAUGAUGUUGGAGUAUUGCUCAAAUUAUACAUACAUGAAGCUUGGCUGCAACUUCAUGGAUCUGUGCUGAAGAUACCCAUAGAUCCUGGGGUUCCCAGAGCAACAAUGCAUAAACUAGAAAGAAUCAGCUGGAAGGGAUGGAAUGUACCUUGGUUGUCUGAUCCCUUGUUUUAUUGCUAUUCCCGGUGGUGUUGGUCCACACAGGUGUGACUUCUCUUAUUGCCCAUAUCAGAACUGGAAAGAGGUAAGCUGCCCUGGAAGCCUAAACACCAUGCUACCAGCAGAAGGUAAGGAAGCGGAGUGUCUGUUCAGCAGGUCUGAAGGUGACUCUAAGCUCUGUGAAGGCAGAGCUUGCUGUACCCACAGUGCCUAGCACCAUUCCACAGGCACCCAAUAAGUGCUGUUGAGUUUCUAAAGGUGGUUUAUUGUUUCAUGGCCAAACUUGUCUCCCUUCUUCAAGGGUCUUGGCUGAGUCUCUACAUAGAAGCUCUAGUGAUCUCUGCAUUACAGCAUUCAGAGUUUUUGCCUGGACAACCAGAGAUGGUGAAGCUCUGCAGGCCUGGCUGGGUUUUAGAGUCAGGACUGGCUUUGGGAGUACAGGGAAGCCUGCAGACAGCAUCAGAGAAGCCAGAGACUAGACCCAAGCUGAUCUGAACAUCAAUCUGAAGGGCUGGGACAGAGGCAAACUCAGGUUUGAAGCACAGAGAUGGAACAAGUAGACUUAGAAGAUAGGGCAGGUGGUCACCUUGGAUAGACUCCAAAGGGCUUGACUGAGACAGGGCUUUUGUGAGGCAAAUGCAUCCUCAUUCAGGAUGCUGAGCCUCUGAGAACAGAGUAGCUUUGGGUAGCAGCUUUUUCUACACACACCUUGAUGCAGAGCCCCAUGUUCCCUACCCUGCCCCCUUUAAGAGCUUGCUUUGUUUCCUGCCUAAGGAAGAGGAACUCUGGAGGUCCUCCUAGAACCCAGAUAAAACUCAGGCUUUCAUCUUCCCAGCAGGGAAGCCAGUUCUAGAAUUGGCUGUGGCUUUGGCAGAGACCAUCAGUACUAUUGCCUCAAUCAUCCAGCUCCCCACGACUUCCCGCAGGCCUGAGAUUGAAGCCAAGACCCAUAGGCCCAGCCCUCUAGAAAGCAGGUUUGUCAUCAUUACCGGCCCUAGGAAUUCACAAGCAGAUCCUCCCAGCUUUUCCUCUUGGUGACUUCUGAGGGCAUCACAGAUGAAGCCUUUGUGCCAGAUGGUCUCACGUUAGGCCCUGUGAAAGGAGCACUCACAGAGCCGUUGCACCUUUAAAGAAUUGCCCAUUUUCGAUACCUGGCAUAUCACUUGAAUAGAAGAAGUUUAACAGAAUUAACAGUCUGUGUCUGGAUGCAAGAUGGUUUUAACCUACAAUAUAUUUAGGGUGCUGCCCGUGCACCCCAGGGCUCCUUGAGGCAAUUAAAACCGUGCCCUUGGCAAUGUGGCUGACUUCAGUGGCUCUUUUGCCAGAGUUACAGCAGUUUCUCAUCAUGUCUGGAAGAGAUUAGAUUUGUGUGGUGUGGAGAGAGGACGCUUCUGACAACAUGAUAGGUCAUGUUGGUGGAAUUGUGGCAGGACCCAGAGUGCUCCCAGAAACUUCAUUUUCUUCCAAACAAAUGUAAAUGGGGUUCAAUUUACUGGUCAAAUUCAGCAACUAGAAGAAAUUACAUAAACUGUGAAGCCACAAGGAGCAAUUUUACUAAAAGUUAUGUUGGCCUACAUGGAGAAAUUUAGGCCAUGGAAGACUCAGGACCAUUUUAAGCUUUAUGUAGACUCUUUUGGAGGCAUCAUCACUUAGAUCAAACGAAUUAAAAUGCACCCACAUCUUGAAUUAAAUGUAAAAUUUUCCAUAAAAAUGUUGAAGGGAUUUUUAUAUUUUUGCCUUUGAAGUUAUUUGCCUAUACAUGAUUAUUCAAUUUACAAUUGUCUGUGUCUACUCUCCCGAGUAGGCAUAAAUCAAUCAGUGUGCCUACUCAGGAAUUCUUGCAAAACAAGAGAAUCUAAUCUACAAGUGUUCUCACCUGUAAUAAAUUUAUAAAUGAAUAAUAAAUUUAACAAUGACAUUGACAUAAUGUUACAUUUUUCAGGUAGUUAAUUAAAUGGCUAUUAAUUUCAAUUUUGUUAUCUGUAUCUUGGAACCUUUUUUUUUUUUUUCCAUAGGCCCCUGAAAAGCAAUGGACCCUAGCCACUGAGUUUCGUGUGCCUCACAGAUAAAAUAGCUCUCAGGGAAUUUGACUCUGAUGUUUAGCUCAGGAAUAAAAGAUUUAAAGGGUACAGGAUUACUGUUUUCAAGAAGUAGAAGGUCUGUAUGUGAAAGAGGGAUAAGACAAUUCUAUGGCACUCCAUGGGACUGGAGCAGGUGGCUCUCCAGGGCAACAUAACAAAGAGGCUGUCACAGGAGGUGUGUGACCUGGAAGCAUCCCCUCCCAGUGUUUUAUUGAGGCUGGGAGGUUGCAGAGGGCCAAGGAGUAGAGUCAGAAGAUCAGACUUGAAGUCCUCGUGCUGAUUAUUACUUGUGUGACUUUGAGUAAGUCACUGAAUCUCUUUGUAUUUCCCUUUCCUUAUCUACAAAAUGCAGAUGUGUCCCCAGCUUGACUUAUCACAUAGGGUUGCUAAAGAUCAAAGUGGGAUCAUUUCAAACUGUUAGUCAAGUUAAUAGUUUCUAUACAAACAUUCAGCCCUAUUCAAGUGUUAUAUUGGAGUUAAUUGGAGUGAUAGCUCCAAUUCUAAGGAUACUAAUGGAGCAACUAGUAGUUAUAGGAUGGAAGGAAAUCUUCAAAAUGAGUCAUUUAAAAUUCAUUAGUUCUACUGACAAUAAUCUUCCAGAGCAUAAGUGACUCCUAAUAAACGUAUAAGGAACAAGUAAAAUGUAUUGGAGAGCCCAGUGCUGUCUAUAUUUACUAAGUCAAGGCUCUAUAAAGACCACCUAAUAUUAUGGCCUUUGAGGUGCAGAAAUGAAAGACUAGAAUCAACAGGGUUAGAGCUGAAAGGAAUGUUGGACAGAGUCCCCAACUCUUAUUUGAAACACAGGAAAAGAACAUGUAAAGUAGUUGAGUGACUCACAAAAUGAUUUCUAUUUAUUUAUAUUCUGCCUUGUUUCAUAAAGUAAUUCAAGUGGAUUACAAGAAUAGAUACAAUGAAAUAGGAAAAUCUAAAAAAAAAAACAAAGCUGUGAUUAUGGAAAAUCAAGUAUAAUGGCUGAGUGAAAGGGGCAAGUGGAAUUGCAGUCAUAACAUGUAGGCUAUAAGAACUUCUAAAGGGUUACUAAACAUGAACAAUAAAUUUGACUGUGAGGUUCCUGGUAGCCAAAGCAAAACUGCAAACCAAGUUAGUGACAGAACCAGCAUCAAAAUUAAGCGUCAGUCCAUUUUGCUUUUUGCUCCAUUAAAACAUUUGUUUUAAUUGAGUCUACUUUUAUGGUCUUAAAAUAUUUUUGGGUGUAAUGUUCUUUUUCUUUCUCUCCAUUUAUUCCGUCUGUGGAAAUGGCCUGUGUGAGGGAACGCAGAGCUACUCCCUGUACCCAGCUCCUUGGGGAACGUCUACUUUCUGCGAGAAAAAUGAGGCACAAAAAGCUGGAGUGCUUUGCCCUAGGUUACAGGCCAUUGGCAUCUGGAUCUGUAGAUAUUUCUAGAUUUCAAAUGGAUUCUUUGGUCGACCUUCAACACAUACGUUAAAUCCAUGGUUCUCAGCCAUGCUAUUAAGAUGCACUGGUGUGGGGCAAUGAGUUGUGAGGUGCCAGUAAUUAAUAAUAGUUAAAGUAAUCUGGAUUGGUGCACCUGGGAAUUUCAGAAUUGACAGCUGGGACUUCUUUGCCUCUACCAGAGCCUCAGUGAAGGGAAUGGGGCGUGCAGUGCAUUCUAUUUGUAGCUAAAUGGCCUCAAUCUUAUCUCUGCCCCAAGCAGUAAACUCCAGUGAGAAUUUCCUGCCACACUAUGUAUAGACCUCUGUACUUUUUAAUCUUAUUUUACAAAAGGCGGAGUAUCUGAUGUCAAAGACCUUAAUGACUAAUAGGGAAGAGGGGUGCAGCCUAUGCUAAAAGAACAAAAUACCCAGACACACAACCAUAUCAGUGACUACCAACGAAGCUGGUAACUUGAAACUUUGUGGACACUUAUGUCAUACAGAUAAGGAUAAUCACUCAUGGUCCAGUCCAGCACAGAGUCCCAUUUAAUACAUAAUAGACCAGUAAAUAAUAAUUAUAAGCAGAUCAAAGCAUUCUUGCUGUCUCUCCUAAAAAAUAAAAAACAUUAUUCUAGAAACUAUUAUUAGAAAGGCCCAAUUACCCCCCAAAACUUAUAUAGGAUGCAGUAGUCCCCUUUCAUCUGUGGGGGAUACUUUCCAAGACCCCACACCAAGGAUAGUACCGAGCCCUCCGUACACUGUUUUUUUUCCUAUACAUCUAAUGUCAAAGACCUUAAUGACUAAUGGAGGGAGGAGCGCAAUGUAUGCUAAAAGAACAAAACAUACAGACGAAAUGCCAUGGCAGAACUUCUUAACAUUCUAACGCAUACCUCUGAUAAAGUUUAAUGUAUAAAUUAGGCACAGUAAGUGAUUAACAACAAUAAUAAUAACAUAGAACAAUUAUAACAAUAUGCCAGCAUCACUAUUCUUUUGCUUUGGGCCCAUUGUUAAGUAAAAUAAGGGUUCCUUGAACACCAGCACUGCGAUACCAUGACAGUUGAUCUGAUAACGGAUCUGGCUGCUAACUGACGAAUGGGAGCGUCUACAGUGUGCAGACGCUGGACAAAGGGAGGAUUCACAUCCCGGGCGGGACUGAGUGGGACGGACGAGAUUUCAUCACGCUAUUCAGAAUGGUGUGCAAUUGAAAACUUAUGAAUUGUUUAUUUCUGAAAAUUUUCAUUUAGUAUUUUCAGACCAGGAUUGACCAUGGGCAACUGAAAUCUUGGAAAGCAAAACUGCAGAUAAGGGGGGGCUACCAUAUUCUGAAACAAAAAGCCCAUGGUUUGGCAUUUUCUCCCUGGGAUUGAUAAUAGAGCUCUUUGACUGUGGGGGUGGAGUGAAUGUGUGUAUGUGUGUGAGGAAGACAUAGUUCCUUGCAGAUUUUAAUAAAAGAAUGGAGAGGAGUUCCCAAGAUUAAUAAAGAAUGGUUCCAGACUGGGCAUAACUCAGGCCAGUAAUUCCAGCACUUUGGAAGGCUAAAGUGGGAGGAUCACUCGAGGAGCUUGAGACUAGCCUGGUCAACAUAAUGAGACCCCAUCUUUACAAAAAAAAUUUAAAUCAAAAAAUGGAAGAAUGAUUUCAGGAUGGGUGUAAUGGCUCAGGCCUGUAACCCCAGCAUUUUGGGAGGCCGAGGUGGGAUGAUUGCUUGAGUUCAGGAGUUUGAGACCAGCCUGGGCAACAUAGCAAGACUCUGUCUCUACAAAAAUUAAGAAUUAGCCAGGUGUGGUGUCAUGUGCCUGUAGUCCCAGCUACUUGGGAGGCUGAGGUGGGAGGAUGGCUUGAGCCCAGGAGGUUGAGGCUGCAGUGAGCUAUGAUCACACCACUGUACUAAAGCCUGGGUGACAGAGCAAGAUCCUGUUUAAAAAAAAAAAAAAGAAUGAUUUCAGAGAGGCAGGAGCAGAGAAGAGAGGAAGCACAGCAAUAGUUUUUAAAGGGCUAAAACCCAAAAUAUUUGUCUUUAUGUUGAAGCUGAAAUGUACAAUGUAUCAAAAUUAAGGAUUUUGAUAAACCUGAAAUAGUUGGGUUAUGUUUUAAAAAUUGUACUGAAUUAUCAAAUUCUUGUCUUUUCAUUUAUACAACUUUCUAAUUGAG